GUCAGCAGCCAUAUCACCCUGCAGCCCAAGACUGGUUGCCCACUGAAGCUAAGCAGGGUUGAGCCUGGUCAGUACCUGGAUGGGAGACCUCCUGGGAAAACUGGGUUGCUGCCGGAA
rnacentral:rRNA from 1 species